GUGGUAAUGCCGGAUGCUCCAGUUGACCGCAUGGUCCUCUGGGAAAGCUUUUGCGGUAUGGGAUGGGGUCGCGUCCUAUCAGCUUGAUGGCGGGGUAACGGCCCACCAUGGCUUCGACGGGUAGCCGGCCUGAGAGGGCGACCGGCCACAUUGGGACUGAGAUACGGCCCAGACUCCUACGGGAGGCAGCAGUGGGGAAUAUUGCACAAUGGGCGCAAGCCUGAUGCAGCGACGCCGCGUGCGGGAUGACGGCCUUCGGGUUGUAAACCGCUUUUGACUGGGAGCAAGCCCUUCGGGGUGAGUGUACCUUUCGAAUAAGCACCGGCUAACUACGUGCCAGCAGCCGCGGUAAUACGUAGGGUGCAAGCGUUAUCCGGAAUUAUUGGGCGUAAAGGGCUCGUAGGCGGUUCGUCGCGUCCGGUGUGAAAGUCCAUCGCUUAACGGUGGAUCCGCGCCGGGUACGGGCGGGCUUGAGUGCGGUAGGGGAGACUGGAAUUCCCGGUGUAACGGUGGAAUGUGUAGAUAUCGGAAAAAAAACACCA
rnacentral:rRNA from 1 species